rnacentral:rRNA from 1 species
UACGAAGGGGGCUAGCGUUGCUCGGAAUUACUGGGCGUAAAGCGCACGUAGGCGGCUUUGUAAGUUAAAGGUGAAAGCCCAGGGCUUAACCCUGGAAUUGCCUUUAAGACUGCAUCGCUAGAAUCGUGGAGAGGUGAGUGGAAUUCCGAGUGUAGAGGUGAAAUUCGUAGAUAUUCGGAAGAACACCAGUGGCGAAGGCGACUCACUGGACACGUAUUGACGCUGAGGUGCGAAAGCGUGGGGAGCAAACAGG